CAAGUCCAGACCACAGCCAGAAGCAGCAUGGCACAAAACAAAAAAAACAAGUCUGCACCAGCGACCAGCACCACUGUGAACAAUGCAGACAAGUCAGGAAUUGACGAAGGAGCUGCGAGCAGGAAACACGAGUGCUCGGGUGGCUGGGUGCUCUCUUCGAGAUAGAGUGAGGAGCUCAGUCACACGGGAGGAGCUCGGAGUAGAGCCGCUGUUCUUCCAUGUUGAGAGAAGCCAGCUGAGGGGAGGGCAUGUUGCAGGGAAGACCCAGGACACGCUGGAGGGACUAUGUCUCUGGGCUGGGCUGGGAAUGCCUCAGGAUCACCCCAGAAGAGCUGGAGGAAGUGUCUGGGGUGAAGGAAGUCUGGGAGUCCUUCCUUAGACUGCUGCCCACGCGACCCGGCCCCAGAUAAGCAGAAGAAAAUGGAUGGAUGGCUGUGUAUAUAACAACUAAUAAACCUAGUCAGUCCACCGGUGUUGUUCACUACUGGAGUUCCAACGAUUUUCAAACAAAUUGUAUCAUCACAUGUUAACCCGGACUCCAAAUAGGCUCUAUUAAAAAAAAAAAGAAAAAUGUUUUCUGUGUUGUUACUCACAAGAAAUAAUUUAAAAGAAGAAAUAAUAGAAAUAGUAAUAGUCUAGUAUUGCUGGGUUUCAGAUGACAUCCAAACUUUUUACAUGUCAAUAUGAAAAGGGUAGUUAAAAUAAAUAUUGUCAAAAUGCAAAAUUAUCUUGUAUCUUGUAUCUAGUAUUUUCUUUGGUUUAGUCAAUUGAAAAUACCACAUUCAAUAUUUGUGAUUUUGUGAAAAGAUUUGUGAAAUCUGGCCCCAUCUGGGAGUUUGACACCAUCUCGCUGUAGAAUCUGAAAACUAACAAUAGAGACAGAAUCCUAACAGCGUUUCCAUGCAGUUCCUUCUUGCACCUCCAGUGGGCGCCAUUGCACACAGAGAAGCAGAGCCUGUAGGAAGUCUGAAUAAUAUAGUGUGCGUAUCCUUGUUAGUGUAUUUUUAUUUUUAUUUAUUUAUUUUUUUAAAGUGUUACCGUCUUUAGAGCUCAUAUUUAUCGUUUAACAGUAGUUUGAGCAACUUUUGAGAUUUUGUGUUUAAGUUUUUCUAUAAACUAAUCUCAUGUUUGUGGUCUGAGGAGUAAUGAAAUCUGUCUGCAUGCUGAUGGAAUGAAAAAUACUGACUGAUUUGCAACACAUUUUAAACAAAUUUUAUAUCAUGGAGCGGUAGUUUUCAAGGUAACAGCUCCUUUAACUUUAGUUCGGUGGAGAUUGGCAAUUCCAGUUGAUUUCUUUGUACACAUUCUCUGCCUCAAUUUAAGUUUACGUGUGUCAAUUUUGUUUUGGCUUUAAAUUAUGUAUAUGUGUAUGUGGAUAUAUAUUGUGUAUGUAUUUACAAAUAAAAUAUAUAUCUUCACCUUUCA